rnacentral:rRNA from 1 species
GACGGAGGAUGCAAGCGUUUAUCCGGAAUGAUUGGGCGUAAAGCGUCCGCAGGUGGCAGUUCAAGUCUGCUGUCAAAGACCGGGGCUUAACUUCGGAAAGGCAGUGGAAACUGAACAGCUAGAGUAUGGUAGGGGCAGAGGGAAUUCCUGGUGUAGCGGUGAAAUGCGUAGAGAUCAGGAAGAACAUCGGUGGCGAAGGCGCUCUGCUGGACCAUAACUGACACUCAGGGACGAAAGCUAGGGGAGGCGAAUGGG